rnacentral:misc_RNA from 1 species
UCUCGGCUUAUCACCGGCAGUCCCCCUAGAGUGCCCAACUGAAUGAUGGCAACUAAGGGCGAGGGUUGCGCUCGUUGCGGGACUUAACCCAACAUCUCACGACACGAGCUGACGACAGCCAUGCACCACCUGUCACCGGCCCCGAAGGACCUCCCAUCUCUUCGGGGUUCCUGGGAUGUCAAGGCCAGGUAAGGUUCUUCGCGUUGCAUCGAAUUAAACCACAUGCUCCACCGCUUGUGCGGGUCCCCGUCAAUUCCUUUGAGUUUUAAUCUUGCGACCGUACUCCCCAGGCGGAAUGCUUAAUGCGUUAGCUGCGACACUGACGAGCAUGCUCGCCAACGUCUAGCAUUCAUCGUUUACGGCGUGGACUAC